rnacentral:rRNA from 1 species
GACAGAGGUCCCGAGCGUUAGGCGGAAUCACUGGGCUUAAAGCGUGUGUAGGCGGAUGUCUAAGUACCUUGUGAAAUCCCACGGCUUAACCGUGGAAUUGCUUGGUAUACUGGAUGUCUUGAGCCAGCUAGGGGCAACCGGAACAAAUGGUGGAGCGGUGAAAUGCGUAGAUAUCAUUUGGAACGCCAAUGGUGAAAACAGGUUGCUGGGGCUGUGCUGACGCUGAGACACGAAAGCCAGGGGAGCGAACGGG